CGGCCCGGGGUGGACAGAGAGGAGCGGUGGAAAGGGGCAAUUCAGGCCAGGGAGGGAGCCAGCCAGUCGGACUUUACCCCCCAGCAAAACUAUCAGUCCCCAGGUCCUGGCACUGGGAGAGGAUGAGAGCUCUGGGGAAGGCACUGCAGGCAGAGGGGUUGAAGGGAGGAAAGCUUGGCAAAGGUUCCAUGACCAAGCCUUAAUUUGGCUAAAGGCGUUGUUCCCAGCACACCCCCUGCCCUGUGCAUGUGCAUGCACACACACAUACACACACACACACCGCACAAGCAUAUCUUCUCUUUCCCAUAGCUUUGUCCCCCUGCAGCAUUCCUGUGCCACCUCCAACCCUCCCAGCAGAAUGUCACACCUGUCCACCUUCAGCAGUCCACCUGACCCCUCUCCCUUCUGCCGCCCACUGUCUCCUGUGACUUAGGACAGCGGCUUCUCCUCUCCAGGCCUCAGUUUCUCUUUAGGCAGCAAGUUACAGAUCUGGCUCUCAGGGCCCUCUUGGCAAUCUAGGACAGCGCAUGGAGAGAAGCUCCUGGGAGCAGAGAUUUACUCUGGAACUGACCUUUUCACUGAAGUCCUGGAACUAGGUGAGAUGAUUCAGCAAGCCUAAGACUCCUCGUUCAGAUCUCAGAUCCUCCAGUUUUGGUCCCUAGCGAGGAGCUCCUUUCAAUUUUGUGGAUUGACAAGAUACAAUGGAAAAAGCACUCGAGCUUUGCCGUGAACAGGAGACUGGUUCUAAGGAGAACACUGAAUGAGUCACUUUUUCUUUUUGCACCACGGAGGAAAAGUAACUACCUGUUUGAAUGUCUUCGUUCAAGCCUAGCUGUUCCCAUAUCUGUAAUGUGGAGAUGAUGACGGAGACGCUGCCGGCCCAUCAGUGUCGUGUGGGCAGUCCCUGAAGUGAGGAACCGGGAGAACCCGCUCCUUACUGGACAUUCCUUUUAUGAGCACUGCGACUUCAUCUCUCAGACGCUGGAUGCUACUGGCAGGAAACAAGCCAAAAGAAGGAAUUCUUGUUCUCCUUCAGGGAAACGCUUUCACGGUGGCGACUCUUUCUACAUGUAAAUUAAUGGAACUUUUGCUACAGUUUCUUUCUCUCUUUCUUUCUUUUUCGUACUAACAACUUAAAACUAAAAUGAACUGAGUUGUGUGAAUGGUCUGAAGGGUCAAUUCUUCGCAUAGGUGCCCAUUUGGGAGCAAUGUGCAGUGUGUUUUAAAAUUGUUUUCAAUAAUUUGUUUUGGU
rnacentral:lncRNA from 1 species